rnacentral:lncRNA from 1 species
CUCUUGUGCAAAAGAAGUAGGUCUCAAAUUUUUACCAAUAUACUUCAAGAGUCGAUGGACUUGAUGACAUGAGUAUUAUUUUAUCUCGUGUGUGUUCUGCAUAUAUGCAGUUACAACAUCCCUCUGGUGGCUGACAUUCAUUUUGCUCCUCCUAUUGCACUUCGAGUUGCGGAGUGCUUUGAAAAAAUACGUGUCAAUCCUGGAAACUUUGGUAUUUCUUCCUCUGUCUACGUGAUGGUCUAUUUUGGCAGAGCCAGGAGAAUAGCUAUGAUUUAAGCGGUUAAUUUCUUUCAGCUGACAGGCGAGCGCAGUUCGAGCAAUUAGAGUACACAGAAGAAGAUUACCAGAAAGAACUUGAGCACAUUGAAGAGGUCAGACUAUGCCAAAUUAGUAUAAGAACUAUAUUUUGAUUUCUAAUACAUGUAAAGAUAAUUAUCAACCUUACACUAGUAUAAGAACUAUAGUUUUGAUUUCUAAUACAUGUAAAGAUAAUUAUUAAACUUUCUAUCGAUGGAAUUUAGAAGUCAGUAACAUGGUAUGAGGUGCUCGUCCUGCAAGUUAGCAUGUCUUUAAUUUAUUUAGUACUUCCUAUGUUCGUUUUAGUCUGUUUCAAAAUGAAUGCCUCUUUCUAUAUUUAGUAACUCUUUAACUCCAACAUUCCACAUGGCAUAUUUAAGACUACAAGAUUCAAGGGCACUUGGGUACAUUACACACAUCAUUAAUUUAAGACCACAAGAUUCAAAAGUCUUCCUUACUUUUCUUGUACUCCAUGCCUAGUCAAACUAAGACACAUAAAAUGAAACGGAGGGAGUAGUUAUUUUCAGUUCAUUUUUACCUUUCUUUUGUCCUAUAAGGUAUGAAUCAUAUUGAUUUAAUUAUAAGAUCCAUUUCUUUCACUGCUUGUCAAAGAAUAAAAAUGCGUGCAGUAUGCUCAGACGGGUGUGAGAUAAUACUGGGUAUGUUGUUGUUAUUGUUGUUAUGCUAAGACGGACAAUGUUAAACAUGAAUUGCUUCUCAAGAUGAUGCUGGGUCUAUAAUCAUCCUAUUUUGGAAACUGUGCCUGCUCAUUAUUCACAUUUAGCAAGAAAUUUUCCAUUUUAUUACGGAACAUAUUCCUGGACAAUCUACCUCUUUGCAGAGUUCAAUCCAUUUUUGAUUUGAAAUGGUUUAGGUUUUUACACCAUUGGUGGAAAAAUGUAAAAAGUACGGACGUGCAAUACGUAUUGGAACUAACCACGGGAGCCUUUCAGAUCGAAUUAUGAGUUAUUAUGGGGACUCACCUAGGGGAAUGGUGAGCAGUAACUGUAUUACUUAUCUAGAAUACUCUAUUCUAGCCAUUGUUGUUGUAUUCUUUAAUUACUUUGUAUCAUUAAAAUGUGGUAACAGGUUGAAUCAGCAUUUGAGUUUGCAAGAAUUUGUCGAAAGUUGGACUUCCACAAUUUUGUCUUCUCAAUGAAAGCUAGCAAUCCAGUAGUUAUGGUUCAGGCGUAUCGCCUUCUUGUAGCUGAGAUGUAUGUUCAGGGAUGGGAUUAUCCUUUACACUUGGGAGUUACUGAAGCUGGUGAAGGUGAGGACGGAAGGAUGAAGUCUGCAAUCGGCAUUGGCACACUUCUUCAGGUACACUUUUAGACUUCCGGAUGAACAACUGUAAAAGCUGUGCAUCUUGUUGAAAGUAACAUCUUUAUUCCUUUUGCGUCCAGCUUCAUUUAUAUAAGUUCUCUAGAUAUACCAGAUAUGUUGUACUCGCUGAUGCAUAUUCAUCCAUUCAAACAAUAGGUUAUUUAGUAUGUACUGUCAGAAAAUGAAACAAAACAAGAAUAAAUUUGUUAAAUUAUAAUAAUAAGAAGACGUAAUUAAGCUAAAAGCUAUAAUCUGCUCAAUCAGAGCAGGUUCUCAAGUAACAGAAAAUACUUACUUGUGAUUUAUCAUAUUUGGAAUUUUAAAAAUUAAAGUGUGUUUGUGCGAGCAAAUUACUACGAUAAGGUAGUCUAUUCUCAUAAAUGUUCCUCAUUUGUGUGGGCUUUAUCAUCAUAAAUGUAUUGCUCGACUUUCUAAAGAAGAAAAUUUUCUAUUGAUGCAGGAUGGUCUGGGUGAUACAAUAAGGGUUUCCCUAACUGAACCUCCAGAGGAGGAGAUAGAUCCCUGUCGACGGUUGGCAAACCUUGGAAAGAGA